rnacentral:rRNA from 1 species
GGCGAGGUAGGUGGCCGCAGGCGGGGGUAUACGUGGGGUGACAGCGUUAGCGGGAGUCGUUGGGCGUAAGGGGUGCGUAGGUGGGUCGUUAAGGGUGAUGUUAAAUCGUGUGGCUCAACCAAAUCGAUGCGUUUCAUACUGGCGUGCUAGAGGACAGCAGAGGCAAGUGGAAUUGGUAGUGUAGCAGUGAAAUGCGUAGAUAUUACCAGGAACACCAAUGGCGAAGGCAGCUUGCUGGGCUACUCCUGACACUGAGGUACGAAAGCGUGGGGAGCGAACAGGAUUAGAUACCGAGUAGUC